rnacentral:rRNA from 1 species
UACGUAGGGUGCGAGCGUUAAUCGGAUUUACUGGGCGUAAAGCGUGCGCAGGCGGCGCGUUAAGUCAGGUGUGAAAGCCCCGAGCUUAACUUGGGAAUUGCGCUUGUGACUGGCGUGCUGGAGUGUGGCAGAGGGAGGUGGAAUUCCACGUGUAGCAGUGAAAUGCGUAGAGAUGUGGAGGAACACCGAUGGCGAAGGCAGCCUCCUGGGCCAGCACUGACGCUCAUGCACGAAAGCGUGGGGAGCAAACAGG